GACGAACGCUGGCGGCGUGCUUAACACAUGCAAGUCGAACGGAAAGGCCCUGCUUGCAGGGUACUCGAGUGGCGAACGGGUGAGUAACACGUGGGUGAUCUGCCCUGCACUUCGGGAUAAGCCUGGGAAACUGGGUCUAAUACCGGAUAGGAGCCAUUUUUAGUGUGAUGGUUGGAAAGUUUUUUCGGUGUAGGAUGAGCUCGCGGCCUAUCAGCUUGUUGGUGGGGUAAUGGCCUACCAAGGCGGCGACGGGUAGCCGGCCUGAGAGGGUGGACGGCCACCUUGGGACUGGGAUACGGCCCAGACUCCUACGGGAGGCAGCAGUGGGGAAUAUUGCACAAUGGGCGCAAGCCUGAUGCAGCGACGCCGCGUGGGGGAUGACGGCCUUCGGGUUGUAAACUCCUUUCGCUAGGGACGAAGCUUUUUGUGACGGUAACUAGAUAAGAAGCACCGGCUAACUACGUG
rnacentral:rRNA from 1 species